rnacentral:pre_miRNA from 1 species
GUUUCCCCUGGAGUCCCUCCGAACACUUCAUUGGGAGUUUGAAGCUAGAUUGCCCUUUAAUUAUAUUAUUGAAACAAGCUAAGGGUGUCUGCUUGCUUAAUUGCCUACUGAAGUGUUUGGGGGAACUCUGGGAGCCAC